AUUGAACGCUGGCGGCAGGCCUAACACAUGCAAGUCGAACGAGUGGCGGACGGGUGAGUAAUGUCUGGGAAACUGCCUGAUGGAGGGGGAUAACUCCUGGAAACGGUAGCUAAUACCGCAUACCAUCGGAUGUGCCCAGAUGGGAUUAGCUAGUAGGUGGGGUAAAGGCUCACCUAGGCGACGAUCCCUAGCUGGUCUGAGAGGGUGACCCGCGACACUGGAACUGAGACACGGUCCAGACUCCUACGGCAGGCAGCAGUGGGGAAUAUUGGACAAGGGGCGCAAGCCUUGUGCAGCCAUGCCGCGUGUAUGAAGAAGGCCUUCGGGUUGUAAAGUACUGUCAGCGGGGAGGCGUGACCCGCAGCAGAAGCACCGGCUAACUCCGUGCCAGCAGCCGCGGUAAUAC
rnacentral:rRNA from 1 species